rnacentral:rRNA from 1 species
UCUCCGCAAUGCGCGAAAGCGUGACGGGGCUAUCCCGAGUGCCGUCCGCUGAGGAUGGCUUUUCCACGGUGUAAGGAGCCGUGGGAAUAAGGAGAGGGCAAGCCUGGUGUCAGCCGCCGCGGUAAAACCAGCUCUCCGAGUGGUAGGGAUGAUUAUUGGGCUUAAAGCGUCCGUAGCCGGCCCGGUAAGUCUCUCGUCAAAUCCAGCGACCUAAUCGUUGGACUGCGGGAGAUACUGUUGGGCUAGGGGGCGGGAGAGGCCGACGGUAUUCUCGGGGUAGGGGUGAAAUCCUGUAAUCCCGGGAGGACCCACCAGUGGCGAAGGCGGUCGGCUAGAACGCGCUCGACGGUGAUGGACGAAAGCUGGGGGAGCGAACCGGAUUAGAUACCCGGGUAGUCCCAGCUGUAAACGAUGCGGGCUAGGUGUUGGGGGGGCUACGAGCCUCUUCAGUGCCGCAGCGAAGGCAUUAAGCGCGCCGCCUGGGGAGUACGGCCGCAAGGCUGAAACUUAAAGGAAUUGGCGGGGGAGCACCACAAGGGGUGAAGCUUGCGGUUUAAUUGGAGUCAACGCCGGGAACCUUACCGGGGGCGACAGCAGGAUGAAGGCCAGAUUGAAGGUCUUGCUAGACGAGCUGAGAGGAGGUGCAUGGCCGUCGCCAGUUCGUGCCGUGAGGUGUCCUGUUAAGUCAGGCAACGAUCGAGACCCGCACCCCCUGUUGCCAGCGGAUCCCGCUGGGAUGCCGGGCACACUGGGGGGACUGCCGCCGAUAAGGUGGGGGAAGGAGCGGGCCACGGCAGGUCAGUAUGCCCCGAAUCCCCCGGGCCACACGCGAGCUGCAAUGGCUGGGACAGUGGGUUUCGACCCCGAGAGGGGGAGGCAAUCCCGAAACCCAGCCUCAGUUGGAAUCGAGGGCUGUAACCCGCCCUCGUGAACGUGGAAUCCCUAGUAAUCGCGUGUCAUCAUCACGCGGUGAAUACGUCCCUGCUCCUUGCACGAAUUCGCCGA